rnacentral:rRNA from 1 species
AUUGAACGCUGGCGGAAUGCUUUACACAUGCAAGUCGAACGGUAGAGGGGGCAACCCCUUGAGAGUGGCGAACGGGUGAGUAAUAUAUCGGAACGUGCCCAGUCGUGGGGAUAACGUAGCGAAAGUUACGCUAAUACCGCAUACGAUCUAAGGAUGAAAGCGGGGGAUCGCAAGACCUCGCGCGAUUGGAGCGGCCGAUAUCAGAUUAGGUAGUUGGUGGGGUAAAGGCUCACCAAGCCAACGAUCUGUAGCUGGUCUGAGAGGACGACCAGCCACACUGGAACUGAGACACGGUCCAGACUCCUACGGGAGGCAGCAGUGGGGAAUUUUGGACAAUGGACGCAAGUCUGAUCCAGCCAUUCGCGUGCAGGAUGAAGGCCCUCGGGUUGUAAACUGCUUUUUGUACGGAACGAAAAGGUUUCUCUUAAUUACGAGGAGCUACAUGACGUACCGUAAGAAUAAGACA